rnacentral:rRNA from 1 species
GAUGAACGCUGGCGGCGUGCCUAAUACAUGCAAGUCGAGCGAACAGACGAGGAGCUUGCUCCUCUGACGUUAGCGGCGGACGGGUGAGUAACACGUGGAUAACCUACCUAUAAGACUGGGAUAACUUCGGGAAACCGGAGCUAAUACCGGAUAAUAUAUUGAACCGCAUGGUUCAAUAGUGAAAGACGGUUUUGCUGUCACUUAUAGAUGGAUCCGCGCCGCAUUAGCUAGUUGGUAAGGUAACGGCUUACCAAGGCGACGAUGCGUAGCCGACCUGAGAGGGUGAUAGGCCACACGGGAACUGAGACACGGUCCAGACUCCUACGGGAGGCAGCAGUAGGGAAUCUGCCGCAAUGGGCGAAAGCUUGACGGAGCAACGCCGCGUGAGUGAUGAAGGUCUUCGGAUCGUAAAACUCUGUUAUGAGGGAAGAACAAAUGUGUAAGUAACUAUGCACGUCUUGACGGUACCUAAUCAGAAAGCCACGGCUAACUACGUG